rnacentral:rRNA from 1 species
UGCAGUCGAGCGAACAGAUAAGGAGCUUGCUCCUUUGACGUUAGCGGCGGACGGGUGAGUAACACGUGGGUAACCUACCUAUAAGACUGGGAUAACUUCGGGAAACCGGAGCUAAUACCGGAUAACAUUUGGAACCGCAUGGUUCUAAAGUGAAAGAUGGUUUUGCUAUCACUUAUAGAUGGACCCGCGCCGUAUUAGCUAGUUGGUAAGGUAACGGCUUACCAAGGCGACGAUACGUAGCCGACCUGAGAGGGUGAUCGGCCACACUGGAACUGAGACACGGUCCAGACUCCUACGGGAGGCAGCAGUAGGGAAUCUUCCGCAAUGGGCGAAAGCCUGACGGAGCAACGCCGCGUGAGUGAUGAAGGGUUUCGGCUCGUAAAACUCUGUUAUUAGGGAAGAACAAACGUGUAAGUAACUGUGCACGUCUUGACGGUACCUAAUCAGAAAGCCACGGUUAACUACGUGCCAGCAGCCGCGGUAAUACGUAGGUGGCAAGCGUUAUCCGGAAUUAUUGGGCGUAAAGCGCGCGUAGGCGGUUUCUUAAGUCUGAUGUGAAAGCCCACGGCUCAACCGUGGAGGGUCAUUGGAAACUGGGAAACUUGAGUGCAGAAGAGGAAAGUGGAAUUCCAUGUGUAGCGGUGAAAUGCGCAGAGAUAUGGAGGAACACCAGUGGCGAAGGCGACUUUCUGGUCUGUAACUGACGCUGAUGUGCGAAAGCGUGGGGAUCAAACAGGAUUAGAUACCCUGGUAGUCCACGCCGUAAACGAUGAGUGCUAAGUGUUAGGGGGUUUCCGCCCCUUAGUGCUGCAGCUAACGCAUUAAGCACUCCGCCUGGGGAGUACGACCGCAAGGUUGAAACUCAAAGGAAUUGACGGGGACCCGCACAAGCGGUGGAGCAUGUGGUUUAAUUCGAAGCAACGCGAAGAACCUUACCAAAUCUUGACAUCCUUUGAAAACUCUAGAGAUAGAGCCUUCCCCUUCGGGGGACAAAGUGACAGGUGGUGCAUGGUUGUCGUCAGCUCGUGUCGUGAGAUGUUGGGUUAAGUCCCGCAACGAGCGCAACCCUUAAGCUUAGUUGCCAUCAUUAAGUUGGGCACUCUAGGUUGACUGCCGGUGACAAACCGGAGGAAGGUGGGGAUGACGUCAAAUCAUCAUGCCCCUUAUGAUUUGGGCUACACACGUGCUACAAUGGACAAUACAAAGGGCAGCUAAACCGCGAGGUCAUGCAAAUCCCAUAAAGUUGUUCUCAGUUCGGAUUGUAGUCUGCAACUCGACUACAUGAAGCUGGAAUCGCUAGUAAUCGUAGAUCAGCAUGCUACGGUGAAUACGUUCCCGGGUCUUGUACACACCGCCCGUCACACCACGAGAGUUUGUAACACCCGAAGCCGGUGGAGUAACCAUUUAUGGAGCUAGCCGU